rnacentral:rRNA from 2 species
CGAUGGGAGCUUGCUCCCUGAGAUUAGCGGCGGACGGGUGAGUAACACGUGGGCAACCUGCCUAUAAGACUGGGAUAACUUCGGGAAACCGGAGCUAAUACCGGAUACGUUCUUUUCUCGCAUGAGAGAAGAUGGAAAGACGGUUUACGCUGUCACUUAUAGAUGGGCCCGCGGCGCAUUAGCUAGUUGGUGAGGUAAUGGCUCACCAAGGCGACGAUGCGUAGCCGACCUGAGAGGGUGAUCGGCCACACUGGGACUGAGACACGGCCCAGACUCCUACGGGAGGCAGCAGUAGGGAAUCUUCCGCAAUGGACGAAAGUCUGACGGAGCAACGCCGCGUGAACGAAGAAGGCCUUCGGGUCGUAAAGUUCUGUUGUUAGGGAAGAACAAGUACCAGAGUAACUGCUGGUACCUUGACGGUACCUAACCAGAAAGCCACGGCUAACUACGUGCCAGCAGCCGCGGUAAUACGUAGGUGGCAAGCGUUGUCCGGAAUUAUUGGGCGUAAAGCGCGCGCAGGUGGUUCCUUAAGUCUGAUGUGAAAGCCCACGGCUCAACCGUGGAGGGUCAUUGGAAACUGGGGAACUUGAGUGCAGAAGAGGAAAGUGGAAUUCCAAGUGUAGCGGUGAAAUGCGUAGAGAUUUGGAGGA